rnacentral:rRNA from 1 species
UACAUGGGGUGCAAACGUUGCUCGGAAUUAUUGGGCGUAAAGCGCACGUAGGCGGUUCGUUAAGUCGGAUGUGAAAGCCCUCGGCUCAACUGAGGAAGUGCACCCGAAACUGGCGAGCUUGAGUACGAAAGAGGAUCGCGGAAUUCCCGGUGUAGAGGUGAAAUUCGUAGAUAUCGGGAGGAACACCGGUGGCGAAGGCGGCGAUCUGGGUCGAUACUGACGCUGAGGCGCGACAGCGUGGGGAGCAAACAGG